rnacentral:rRNA from 1 species
GACGAACGCUGGCGGCGUGCUUAACACAUGCAAGUCGAACGGAAAGGCCCUGCUUUUGUGGGGUGCUCGAGUGGCGAACGGGUGAGUAACACGUGAGUAACCUGCCCUUGACUUUGGGAUAACUUCAGGAAACUGGGGCUAAUACCGGAUAGGAGCUCCUGCUGCAUGGUGGGGGUUGGAAAGUUUCGGCGGUUGGGGAUGGACUCGCGGCUUAUCAGCUUGUUGGUGGGGUAGUGGCUUACCAAGGCUUUGACGGGUAGCCGGCCUGAGAGGGUGACCGGCCACAUUGGGACUGAGAUACGGCCCAGACUCCUACGGGAGGCAGCAGUGGGGAAUAUUGCACAAUGGGCGGAAGCCUGAUGCAGCAACGCCGCGUGCGGGAUGACGGCCUUCGGGUUGUAAACCGCUUUCGCCUGUGGCGAAGCGUGAGCGACGGUAAUGGGUAAAGAAGCACCGGCUAACUACGUG